UAGGGAAUCUUCGGCAAUGGGGGCAACCCUGACCGAGCAACGCCGCGUGAGUGAAGAAGGUUUUCGGAUCGUAAAGCUCUGUUGUAAGAGAAGAACGUGUGUGAGAGUGGAAAGUUCACACAGUGACGGUAACUUACCAGAAAGGGACGGCUAACUACGUGCCAGCAGCCGCGGUAAUACGUAGGUCCCGAGCGUUGUCCGGAUUUAUUGGGCGUAAAGCGAGCGCAGGCGGUUUAAUAAGUCUGAAGUUAAAGGCAGUGGCUUAACCAUUGUUCGCUUUGGAAACUGUUAAACUUGAGUGCAGAAGGGGAGAGUGGAAUUCCAUGUGUAGCGGUGAAAUGCGUAGAUAUAUGGAGGAACACCGGUGGCGAAAGCGGCUCUCUGGUCUGUGACUGACGCUGAGGCUCGAAAGCGUGGGGAGCAAACAGG
rnacentral:rRNA from 1 species